rnacentral:rRNA from 1 species
ACGGGUGAGUAACACGUAGGCAACCUGCCUGUAAGACUGGGAUAACUACCGGAAACGAUAGCUAAGACCGGAUACGCCAUAGAGAGCGCCUGCUCUUUAUGGGAAAAGCGGAGCAAUCUGCUACUUACAGAUGGGCCUGCGGCGCAUUAGCUAGUUGGUGAGGUAGCGGCUCACCAAGGCGACGAUGCGUAGCCGACCUGAGAGGGUGAACGGCCACACUGGGACUGAGACACGGCCCAGACUCCUACGGGAGGCAGCAGUAGGGAAUCUUCGGCAAUGGACGAAAGUCUGACCGAGCAACGCCGCGUGAGUGAAGAAGGUUUUCGGAUCGUAAAACUCUGUUGCCAAGGAAGAACGCUUAGGAGAGUAACUGCUCUUAAGGUGACGGUACUUGAGAAGAAAGCCCCGGCUAACUACGUGCCAGCAGCCGCGGUAAUACGUAGGGGGCAAGCGUUGUCCGGAAUUAUUGGGCGUAAAGCGCGCGCAGGCGGUCAUUUAAGUCUGGUGUUUAAUCCUGGGGCUCAACCCCAGUUCGCAUCGGAAACUGGAUGACUUGAGUGUAAGAGAGGAAAGUGGAAUUCCACGUGU